rnacentral:lncRNA from 1 species
ACAAGUGUCUUGGUAGAGAAGGAAGCAGAAGCAUUGAUUGCAAUGCUUUGAAUGUUGCAAGUGAAAGUGUUGACAUGUGAGACGGUUGAUAUAGGCGAGGAAGCGGCUGGUCAAGCUGAUUUGCUGUUUUGGAUCAGAGUGGUCCAAGGAGACAAUAAUGUGUUAGUUAAGAUGAUUGAAGAUGAUGUUGUAGGGUACUGAAAACCAAUAAUGAUAUGACUAUUUCAGUGGACUAGUGUGUGUCCCAAAGGAUAACGAGUUUAAAAUAUGGUAAUGAAAGAAGCAAAUCAUUCUAAGUUCACCUACAACUAAGGGCGACAUGUAUGUACUAUGACCUUAAGCAAUACUACUAUUGAUCGGGGAUGAAAAUGUAUUUUGUGGAAUGAGUGGUUAAGAGUCCGAUAUAUUAACUGGUAAAGGUAAAGUAUCAAGUGCCAAGUGGGUCGAUGUUAAGUUACCAAUGCCCGAGUGAAAUUGAAAUAUGA